CACGUAGGGCGCGAGCGUUGUCCGGAAUUAUUGGGCGUAAAGAGCUCGUAGGCGGCCUGUUGCGUCCGCUGUGAAAGCCCAGGGCUUAACCCUGGAAUUGCCUUUAAGACUGCAUCGCUAGAAUCGUGGAGAGGUGAGUGGAAUUCCGAGUGUAGAGGUGAAAUUCGUAGAUAUUCGGAAGAACACCAGUGGCGAAGGCGACUCACUGGACACGUAUUGACGCUGAGGUGCGAAAGCGUGGGGAGCAAACAGG
rnacentral:rRNA from 1 species